rnacentral:lncRNA from 1 species
GAGACACUAUUGUGUGAAUGCAAAGGCAUUCCUUUUGUAUCACCCACUUGUAUAAACCUUCUGUUGCAAUGAGAUUCCUUGCCACACAAGGUUUUACACCUAAACAUGUUGCCUAAAAAAAGAGUGGAGAAAAUCAAUCUAGAGCUUCAGUUUGGGCUCUCAGGUACAUUUUUAUUUUUAUUUUUGGUCUUCUUUUGGCUUCAGAUUUGUCUAUCUCUUUUUCAUCUUUGUGGUUUGUAUGUUGUAUAUAUCUGUUUGUGUUUAUAUAUAUGUACAUAUAUAUAUAUAUAUAAAUUUAUUAGAGAAACAUUUUAUUUUACAGUAUUGUCUCAAUCGAAGUAUGCAGAUUAGUAAGUUUAGAAUAUUUUUUCUUUUAAUGCUUUUCUUGUCUAGAGCAUACGAACAAUAAGACGCAUCACCACCUUAAGACAAUUAUCAUCUAACGCCAAUUCAUACAGUUGGCCUGCUUGUAUUCCUUGCGGUAAUACUUACUCUAGCGUUUUAUACUUGUUGGAUGAAUCGAUUGCAGUAGAAUCAUAAAGCACAAAAUCAUGGAGCGCAAAAUUAUUUUCAGUGAAAUGUUCGACCUGCAGUUAUGAACAACAAUCCACCACACCCAUUGUUGAAUGGCAUGCCAACACAUGAAUACUCAGAAGAAUGGUCCAGUUCUAGAAGUGCUUGUUUAAUAUGGUGUGAAGACUUUCUAGAGGAGGAAAUAUAUUGAGGCUUCCUGAUUGCCAACGCAAUUACCAUGUGAAUUGUAUUUCACAAUGGUUUUAUACGAGUUCCUAUUUCUGUCUAAUAUGUAGACAUGAUUGUACUAAUUAUCAGACAUAAGGUUGUAUAUAUAUAUAUAUAUACACAUACAUAUAAAUUGAGAGUAAAGUUAAUAACAAAUUACAUAUUAUAUCUUGAUUAGUGUAUUUAGUAUGGAAGUAAAUUAAAAUAGUGUGAAAGUUUUAUUAUCGUAAUCUCUCUGUAUUUUAUAUAAAUGUAGUAUGGAAGUUUUAUUAUUGUAAUCUCUCUGUGUAUUUAGCAUACAAGUGAUUAAAAUAGUGUAGAAAUUUUAUUAUUAUAAUCUCUCUCUCUCUAUUUGUGAAAGUGAUGUUCAUCAUGAAUCUAAGUGUAAUUGGGAGAUGAG